ensembl:lncRNA
CCUCAGAGCAUCCCACAUCUCUCCCCAAGCUCCCAUCCUGAGGCAACAUCUUGCACUGAACACCUGGCUUGAAGGCAGGCAGAUGCUCAGUGAAACUUUCCAGCCAGCAAAGUCUGGAGUGUAACUAGGAAGAUGUCAAGAAAGCAGCACGUCCAUAUGGAGUGUCCAUCAGCAUUUCUCCACGCACAUCACAGACACGAUAAGAUGCAACCAACGUGCUUUUCAGUAAUGAAGAGUGAAUCUUUUAAAGGAGAGUUAGACGUCUGGAACAAGGGAAGCUGCAGAACUCAUACUAAUACUGUGCUUAAGAACCUGUCAAAUAUAAUCUCUGCAGUGAGAAGAUUUAUUGGAAACUCUCUAGAAAUCUAAGUGCAAUGCUUGCUGUUCUCUCAAAAAAGGACCAAGUUGAGAGUGUGGAAAGUCACUCAUCCUUAAGGCUCCACUGAGCACACAAGGUCAAUAGAGAGACAUGAGACUUGCUCCCUUCUGUUUUUCCAUAGGGGAGGGUGGCCUUUGCUUUUACUCACAGAUUAUUUACACCAAGUGCAGCUUUUGCUGGUACCCAAAGCUGGCUUUCAGUGGAGUCCAAGCAGCAGGAUUGGCAAGGACUUAAAAAUCUGAGCUUCAGCUUUGUCUUUCUGCCCUGGUAGUCACUAUCAUACACAAUGGGCUGGCAAAUGCAGAUCUGCAGUCUCCCAGCAGUAGAUAGUGCUGUCCCUUUGGCUUCUGAAGCUGCCAAGUCCUUAAUGACUCCAGCCUGGUGGGCACACACAGCAAGUUGUAUAAUACUGUCCUUCUGAUUUUAGGUAGGCUAUACAUUCUAAAUGCUUUCCCAACAUAUAAACAAAACCAUCUCUCCUUGUGUGAUUCUGUAUAUGACCAAAGGCGUGUUACUUGCUAGCUCGGCUCCUAUGAAAGUUGGCAUUGAUACUUGGAACAAAUAUCCACCAUGUAUGAGAGCAACAUUGCCUUUGUGCAUGUGAAGGCAAACCCGUCCAAUACAGUACACGUACUUAUGUUUUACUGAAAUAUUUCCAGAAAGCAUAAGGCAAUCAGUGUAGCUGCUGGAUUUUUAAAUAUAAGGCCUGGAUGCAAGCUUUCUGCUGGAUUUUUGAUGAGAGAAUUGUAGAAUGAGUUUCAGUCUCAGUGAGAAGCAGAAAUCACUUCUUACGUUUCAGUGUGUAACAUGCCAUGGUAAUUUGAAGGCAUUCAAAUGAAACUCAUGACUUCUCUUCUUCCAUUGAAAUAGCUUUGGAAAUUGCAGUCUGUUUGUAGAAUAGGGAGAUUCCCAGCUCCCCAGCUGAGCUUCCCUGCAAGAAACGGAACACCAACACUCAUCCCUCAGGGCUUGGAGAAUUGCUAAGUAGGAGCUAACAGAGGAAUAGGAAUGUGUCUUCCUGCCUUUCCAUCACCUGCUCUUGUAAAAAAUACUCCAUUUUCCGUUCUAAUCCUUCUGAAAAACUGAAUAAAACAAACAAAAAAAAGAACAUUAGCAUUAAAAACAAGUGCUAUAAUUAACAUUAAUGCCUUCAUCACCUUAAAAGAAUCCUAAACAGCUAGGAUUUCUCUCUGUCUUAACCUCUAGGUAGCCUAGUGAUUUUCAGACUGUAUUCUACACAGUACUCCACUGAUGUCCAUGAGAGGUUAUAAAAGAAAGUCAAGCCUCUCCUCAGUAGGCUUCAAAACACUGAAUGGAGGUCUGAAGGUGAAAAUCACAGUUCUGUCCAUUCUUUCUUCUUCUGUUUUCAUACCAGUCAGCUCCUUCCACUCCCAUCAAAUUCCCUCCAGUGCUUCCUGGGCACUCCCUUCAUCACAAGCAGCUAAGCUCAGGCCCUGGAACAGGCUGCCCAGGGCAAUGGGCACAGCCAUGAGUGCUGGAGUUCAGGGAGUGUUUGGACAUCGUGUUCAGACAUAGGGUUUGGAUUUGAGGUGGCGCUGUGUGGAGCUGGAGAGUGGACUCAGUGAUCCUUGUGUGUCCCUUCCAACUUUUGGGAUAUUCAUAAGACUAGAAGAGAACUAGAAGUAGAUCUUUCUGUUUAACCUGAUUCUGGCUGUUAUUUACCUUCUCACCUCCUAAAAAUGUCAGUAUUUGUAAAAAACUUAAAAGUUUUUAAAGGAGAUGUUCAAAGUCUUUCUAGAAAAAAUAAAUAAAUUGAAACU